rnacentral:rRNA from 1 species
UACAGAGGAGCCAAGCGUUGUCCGGAUUGACUGGGCGUAAAGCGCACGCAGGCGGUCUGGCGCGUGGGGUGUGAAAUCUGGCCGCUUAACGGCCAGGCGCCAUCCCAUACGGCCGGACUGGAGCCUUGCAGAGGUCGGUGGAAUUGCCGGUGUAGUGGUGAAAUGCGUAGAGAUCGGCAGGAACACCCAGGGGGAAACCAGCCGACUGGGCAAGUGCUGACGCUGAGGUGCGAGAGCGUGGGGAGCGAACCGGAUUAGAUACCCGGGUAGUCCACGCCGUAAACGAUGGCCACUCGGCCUUUGGGGGCGGAAUCUCCGUUUCUGGGGGCCUUAGCUAACGCGGGAAGUGGCCCGCCUGGGAACUACGAGCGCAAGCUUAAA